rnacentral:rRNA from 1 species
GAUGAACGCUGGCGGCGUGCCUAAUACAUGCCAGUCGAGCGAACAGAUGAGGAGCUUGCUCCUCUGACGUUAGCGGCGGACGGGUGAGUAACACGUGGAUAACCUACCUAUAAGACUGGGAUAACUUCGGGAAACCGGAGCUAAUACCGGAUAAUAUAUUGAACCGCAUUGUUCAAUAGUGAAAGACGGCUUUGCUGUCACUAAUAGAUGGAUCUGCGCCGCAUUAGCUAGUUGGUAAGGUAACGGCUUACCACGGCAACGAUGCGUAGCCGACCGGCGAGGGGGGUCGGCCACACGGGAACUGAGACACGGACCAGGGGCCUACGGGAGGCAGCAGUAGGGAAUCGUACGCAGUGGGGGGGAGUCUGGCGGAACAACGCCACGUGAGUGGUAAAGGUCUUCGGAUCGUAAUACUCUGUUAUUAGGGAAGAACAAAUGUGUACGUAAAUAUGCCCGUCUUGACGGUACCUAAUCAGAAAGCCACGGCUAACUACGUG